rnacentral:tRNA from 1 species
UCCCUGGUAGUUCAGUUGUUAGAACUCUGCACUUCCACUGCAGUGGGCAUGAGUUUCACCCCUGGUCAGGGAA